GCUAUGUAUUUGUUCCAAGUCUUGUUCCGGUUCCAGAGUAAGAAGAGGCUUCUGAGGGUUGCUUUCUCUUUCAUGCAUGUUGUUAGCUUAUUAAGUUCUUCUAAUUCUUUCAGUUGCACUAGGCAUUUCCUUUGGUGUUGUUACUUUUAUUGAAUAAUAAACCUUAAAACAAAGCUGGAAAUAUUGUAGUCUCUGAUUUCUUUUUAACUUUAAAUUAGCACAAAAACAAAAACGAGUGCAAAAUAUGUAACUGGAGCUAUGUUUGGUUCUUGUUAAAAUCAUUUAUGACCAUAUGAGGUUGUGAUCAUAUUUAACACACAAGUGAC
rnacentral:lncRNA from 1 species